UAUUUUUGUCAUAUUAUAAUAAUAUUCAUAUGUCCAAAUUUAUUACAGUGUAUCUCUUUUAGUAAAUUUCUUUACUUCUUAUUUAUAUAUUUUUACUUAUUAUAUAUAUAUAUAUAUGUAUUUUUUAGAGAGACUCAAUGGUACAUACGUUCUAUCGUUCAGCAGAUAGAUAUUACUGUAGAAUUGCGUUUACAAUCCUACAUUAAUGCUACUGUUUCGUUGUAAAUCAGUUGCAAUACGACAGAUACGUUUAAUUAUGCGCGGCACGCAAACGCGAUUACUUUAAUAAUGUUAUUAGGCAUUUAAAGGAAUUAUUAAAAGGUUUAAUGACUUUUACCGUGAUCGCGACAAUUUUUCUACGCUGUAUCAAAUGUAUAGGAAUAGAAGACGCUUCGAUAUGAAGAAGAGUCGCAAAGGAGCGGCUCUCCAUGUGAGACGGUAAGAUAAUUAGUUACGCCAGAAAAAAUUGUGCGCGAACAACUUAAUAGCAGAUCUAUUAGGCUAUUAUGUUGCAUAUCAAAGUAUAGAAUUUGAAAUAGCGAAAUUAUAACAUAAGUUCUAAUUCGGAUAUUAUACGUUUCGUGCACGUCCUGUAACGAAACAAAUCACAGAACAUUGUAGAUCGCUUGAUGAAAAGCAGCUCGAUUUACUAUGAAAAACAAAGUCGGCAAUGUUGAAAACUUAUUUGUUCACUUAGAACGGAUCUUUUCCAUCGGAGGAAUAUGGCCGUUACAGCGGACGUAUGCCCGUUUCGUUAUUUAUAUGUCAUAUUAUUCGCUUCAUCUCGUCAUGGCGUAUACCGACUUGUACGAUGUUUUUGGUAAUUUGGAACUGAUGGUGAUGAAUCUCGUGGAAACAGUGGUUUAUUCCAUAACGUUCCCGGUAAUGUUCCUGAUAAAGUGCAGCAAUCUGCUGAAGCUUUUAAUCGGCGUAAUAAAGAGGGAUAUGGUGGAGCACAAAUUUGAAAAUUCUGAGGAAGAAAGGCUUUACUACAAUUACAAUUAUAUAUCCAAGAUAUUUAUAUAUGGUUCAACCGUCAGUAUGUUCUCCACAGUCUUAUUAAUGUACCUUAGACCACUUAUAUAUCUCGUAACCACUAAAGCAUUACAUCGUAACAGUUCGGAGUCGUUUACAUUACCUUUCCGAGUCCAUACAUUUUUCGAAAUCAGUAAUACUCGUACAUACGUGCUGACGUACCUGUAUCUAAUGCCGCCGAUAUACACGUCUAUUUGUCACAUGGCAGCGGUUGGCCUGUUGAUUGUCUUAGUAUUCCACAUUUGUGGCGAAAUGUCCAUUUUGUCAUAUCGCAUCAGACACGUUGGUGAAUACUCGCAGACCAUGAUAAUAGACAGAAUUCGUAGCUUUGUUCAAAUGCAUGUCAAGAUAAUAUGGAUGGCAAAAUCCGUCGACGACAUUUUCAAUUUUAUUCUUUUGAGUGAACUCGUCGGCAAUAGUAUUGUAUUGGCUAUCUCGUUGUAUUACGUCAUAAUGAAUUUGGAAGUGGCAGAAUUAGCAACCUGCUGCACUUUUAUUUUUUUCGCCCUUACUGCGCUUCUCAUGCUCUUCGGAUAUUGCUUGAUUGGUGACCAACUAACUCAACAGUGUAUAAACAUACAGAAUGCAUACUAUGAAUGCAGCUGGUACGAAAUGCCGCUCAUUUGCAAGAAGUGUCUGCUAAUAUGUAUGCUUCGCGGUCAAAUUAUGCUCUACUUAACUGCUGGACGAUUUUAUAUAUUUUCUUUAAACAGUUUUACAGACGUAAGUGUGUUGAAAUAUUUUUUUCUAAAAAUAAUAAGUAAUCGAUAAUAAAUCAAUACUAAAUCAAUAUCAAAUUGAUAUAAGAUUUGAGAUCAUAGAUUACAGUUAAGAAGUUUACAUUCAAAUUGUAAAUCAAAAAAUAAUUAAAAAAUUGAUAUCAUAUCAAUAUUAAAUCAAUAUCAAAUCAAUAUUAGAUUUGAGAUCGUUGGAUUACAGUUAAGAAGUUUACAUUCAAAUUGUAAAUCAAAAAAUAAUUAAAAAAUUGAUAUCAUAUCAAUAUUAAAUCGAUAUCAAAUCUAUAUUAGAUUUGAGAUCGUUGAAUUACAGUCGAGAAGCUUAAGUUUAAAUUGUUUAAUCCUCACUUCAAAGAAGUAAGGGUUAUAUUUAUUUUACAGAAUUCCUUAUUAUUUUCCAAUACAUUCUUAUUUUUAAAUAAAUGAAUUUAAAACAAUUUGAAAAUUAUCUCUUCGAUUAAUCUUUUCCGGAAAUUUUUAAUCAGUAAUUUUUUUUUUAAAUAAAAUUCUGUGUAAUAUUAUAUAAUAGUAUACAUUGAUGCAGGUUAUCAAAACUUCCUUGGCAUACUUGUCGAUGUUGCGUACUCUAUUAUGAAUAAUUAUGGGAAAAUUUAUAUAUGAUUCAUAUAUACGAAUCUGUAUGUUAGAUAGACAGAUAAAGAAGUACACAUAAAAUAUGCAUCUUUUGUAUUGCAACAUAUGUAUAAUCGAUUAUCAAUCAUCGAGCAAUGUAUAUAAUUACAAAUUCAACUUAUUGCAAUAUUACUGAAAUGUUCUGUGUUACACGAAAGAAUGAUUGUGUGUGCAACAGCACAGCUUUUAUCAAUAAUCGCUUAUCGAUCAUUGAGUAUUGAUAAUUGAUUUUCUUUCAAAAAUCGUAAUAGAAAAAUCAAACAAAACUCAUAUAGCAAAUAAAUUAUUUAAAUUAAAAUAAAAAUUCGAUUGAAGACACAUAAGAAAGUUAAUGUCUAAUUUUUCAACCAGAGUUACAUCACUCAAUAUCUUCGGAAAUUCAUAAAGUUGCACGCACGAUCGUUCCUAGAACCAAUUGGCAACAAUUUGUAUUUGUAGUUACGUACGUAUAGAUCUACGUGUAUACCGAAAUCAUACACACUGAAAAAAAUAGUUGUUAAAUUUUUCAACUUGCUUAAAUUUCUUUUUUAAUUUAAGUAUUUAUAUAUUUUAGUCAAAUAUAUAAAUAUUUAAAUUAAAGUUCAAGCAUUUUAUGUAUUUAAGUUAAAUAUUUGAACUAAAGAAAUUUAAUCAAGUUGAAAAAUUCAGGCAAAUUAACAUUUUUUUCUCAGUACAGAUCUACUUUUGAUGUUAAGAACCAAUUAUAAAAGAUAACUAAUUUUACAUUGGAUUAAAGCACAGGUGGCUCAAGUAACACGCUUAUAUGCAAUUCAUAAUUUUUUUGCGCAAUUGCCUAGUCCUGCAUUCUAUAGACAGCUAUAAGGUAUUAACAGAGAUUACUUGCGCUCCCGCAUUUGUAUAUUUGGUGUAGUUUCAUGCGAGCUUUCGAGGAAAGAACAGCGUAUAGAGUGCAAGCGAUGUGCAAGUAAGUUGUAGAUUCUUAUUAAUAUUGCAAUACGCUAUAAAAAAUUAUAAAAUGUAUCAUUUUACAUGUUUGAUAUUACAGAGGUUUUUAAGUCUUUUUUUUUUUUAUUUAAACCGUGUGCUUAAGGUGUUGACAUAUAUCGAGGUUUGCCUAAUAUCAACAUAAAGUUUUUGACUCAACCGUGAUUUCUCGUCUCGAUUAAUUUUACUUCAGUCUCCAUGUGAUUCUGAAAUACUUAAAAUAUCUGGAUCUUUAUUUGUUGAUGAUGUUGAACACAUGAUCGUAACUUUGACAAAGGAAUUCUCAGACGGCAUUCUUAGAUACUUGUGUAAGUAUCCUGCUUAUAUAACAAACGAUUUGGUGAGAUCAUAGAACGGGAACUUUGAGAGAACGAAUUAUAAAGCCGGUGAGGAGAUGAAAGCAUUUUAUAAUGCUACAUAAUAUCAAAGAUCUUUAUCAAACUAAUUGACAGCGACCGUAGACAGCUCUUUCAUUGUUUAACUUUUGUCAAAUUAUUUAACUUCCAUUACAAUUAUCCUCGGAAAUGGUGAGUCAUGCGUUCACACUUUUAUGUAACUUAAUCUCGACGUACGUAGGAAAAUUACGUGUAUUCAUAUAAAUAAAUUCGAUAGAGAAAUAAAGUAUUUGUAAACGCACUGCACAGAAAAAAUAACAUUCUUGUUUAAAGAGUAUCUAUAUUUUCGAAAUAUUAAACAAAUAAGAUUCUUUAAAUAAUUAAUAUAAUAUUAAAACAAAAAAUAUAACGUGAGUAUUGCUGAAAUUUAAGAUUAUCAAAUUCUUGUAAAAAGAUUCAAUUAUAUAUAAAUAGGAUUAUUGUUUUCGUCUAAAUAGACGAAUUAUACAAAAAAGAUCUAUAGUAUUUAUAUCAUAUACUGAUGAAAAUAUUUCUGUGAACCGUAAACUUGAAAUAAUGAAAUGUAAAAGAAAUAUUAACAUUCAAACUCGCUGGCUGUAUUACAGUCUUUCAUAUUUACCACAGCCAGAUGUCGAUUCCCGUUUAUUAAUAAUAUAUAUACAUAGACAUCGAACUUUGUAAUUGCAGGCAUGAAAUGCGGCAUAUGAUACGCGUGAUACAUACGAUUACCGCGAUGAGUCCUCGCAUAUGCACGCAAGAACAGUUAUUAAGAUCACAAGACAAUUAUGAAAAACUACUGUUUAUCAAAAUCUUUCUUUUCGUUUCAUGCUUCAAUUAGAACUAAAAACCAUUAAACUUUUACCAAUUUUGUUUAAAGAUCUCUGUUAAAUAAAUUUUUUAUUUUUAGAUUUUAGAAUUUAUUUAUUACUUAACAAAUUAAUAAUGGAAAAAUAGAUUUUUAUUUCUCACUUUUACAUAUGUAUAUAUAUAUAUAAUAUAAAUUUUUCAGGAUAAGAAAAAUGAUGACAUUUAAUGGAACAUUUUUGCUCAUCUUUUAAUCAAAUUUGAAUAUAACUGUCUGAGCGAAUCGCAUCUGAGCAUGUGAUCACCAUGUUGCGUCACUAAGAUGUUAUUUCAUUGGUUAUUCUCUUCUCCUCUCUACUUUCACUUCUUUAUUGGCAUUUUCGACUGAAGUAAGAUUGUAGAUUGUUCCAAGAAAGCUUGACGAUAUCAUCUAUUUAUUCGGAAUUAUUAAUGCAAUAAUGUAUUAAAAACUUUCCUACAAAAAAAUGGCAAUGUUCAUUAAAAAUAUCAUAUUAAUAUACAUUUUUGAUGAAUUAAAAUUUAAAAAAUAUUUUGUACACAAUCUCUUACAUUGUUUACAUUUCAACAAAAAGUAUAAUACAAAAAAUUGUACUAAGUGACAAUGGAAAUAAAAUAAUUAUAUGCAAA